rnacentral:lncRNA from 1 species
AGAAUAAAAUGCAAUCCCGGUUUAUCGAGCCUGAGAAGACGGUUCAAAAGGAAGUUGAGUUGAACUCCAUACCCUCAGUUCAUCCACAGAAAAACCUGCAAUCCUGGUCUAUCAAGCCUGAGAAGAAGGUUCAAAAGGCAGUUGAGUUGAACUCUAUACCCUCAGUUAAUCCACAGAAUAAACUGCAAUCCCGGUUUAUCGAGUCUGAGAAGGAGGUUCAAAAGGAAGUUGAGUUGAACUCCAUACCCUCAGUUCAUCCACAGAAAAACCUGCAAUCCCGGUUUAUCAAGCCUGAGAAGAAGGUUCAAAAGGCAGCUGAGUCGAACUCUAUACACUCAGUUAAUCCACAGAAAAAACUGCAAUCCCGGUUUGUUGAGCCUGAGAAGAAGGUUCAAAAGGAAGUUGAGUUGAACUCUAU